rnacentral:hammerhead_ribozyme from 1 species
CUGCUGAGGAGUCCCAUACCAGGACGAAACGGCCGUCCAGUGC